rnacentral:lncRNA from 10 species
UUAGCCUCCAGGGACAACCCGGAAACCACAUUUCCCAGCGUGCCGAGCGCCUCUGCGCAGGCGCAAAGAGUUUCCCUCGUUGCCAUGGGAACCUCGCCCCUUCUAGAGUCCUGGCCGCUUGACUCAGCUAAGCGCGAAGGUGUUGUUUCUUCCUGAGAUAUGGGAUGCUGGAGGACAUCUGGGGGCCACAAAUGCUCCUUCUCCUGGAGACGCAACUCAAGUUCUCAUGGAGUUUUCAUUGUCUCGUGCAAUGCCAUCGACCUUGAAUUUCAGCAUAGGACCCAUAUGAAGUGCCACUGUUAAUGCUGGGAGCACUCCAGGAAGCAGAGAAAAGUUAUGACAUUUCAAGAAAAAUCUGAAUUGCUUGAUAUGUUCCACAGAUUGAGGUCUGUACCUAUGGUUGCC